rnacentral:rRNA from 1 species
GACGAACGCCGACGGUGUGCUUUAGACAUGCAAGUCGAACGAGAAAGCCCUUCGGGGUGAGUAAAGUGGCGAACGGGUGAGUAACACGUGGGUAACCUGCCCCUCGCAGAGGGAUAACCGGGGGAAACCCCAGCUAAUACCUCGUACGCUUGCCGGGUCGCAUGGCUCGGCAAGGAAAGGUAGCUUCGGCCAUCCGGCGAGGGAUGGGCCCGCGGUCCAUAGCUAGUUGGUGGGGUAACGGCCCACCAAGGCGACGAUGGAUAGCUGGUCUGAGAGGAUGAUCAGCCACACUGGGACUGAGACACGGCCCAGACUCCUACGGGAGGCAGCAGUCGGGAAUCUUGCGCAAUGGGCGAAAGCCUGACGCAGCAACACCGUGUGGGCGACGAAGGCCUUCGGGUCGUAAAGCCCUGUUGUUGGGGACGAAGGACGAAGGGUUAAUAGCCCCUAGUCUGACGGUACCCUUCGAGGAAGCCCCGGCUAACUACGUGCCAGCCGCCGCCGUAAUAC